rnacentral:rRNA from 1 species
UACGUAGGGUGCGAGCGUUGUCCGGAAUUAUUGGGCGUAAAGAGCUCGUAGGCGGUCUGUCGCGUCGGCUGUGAAAACUCGGGGCUCAACCCCGAGCCUGCAGUCGAUACGGGCAGACUAGAGUGCUGUAGGGGGGACUGGAAUUCCUGGUGUAGCGGUGAAAUGCGCAGAUAUCAGGAGGAACACCGGUGGCGAAGGCGGGUCUCUGGGCCGUAACUGACGCUGAGGAGCGAAAGCGUGGGGAGCAAACAG